UAUGGCCAUAUCAUGUUGAAACACCGGUUCCCAUACGAUCACCAAAGUUAAGCAAUAUCAAGCCUGGUCAGUACCUAGAUGAGUGACCACUUGGGAAUAGUAGGU